rnacentral:rRNA from 1 species
GAUGAACGCUAGCUACAGGCUUAACACAUGCAAGUCGAGGGGCAGCAUGGUCUUAGCUUGCUAAGGCCGAUGGCGACCGGCGCACGGGUGAGUAACACGUAUCCAACCUGCCGUCUACUCUUGGACAGCCUUCUGAAAGGAAGAUUAAUACAAGAUGGCAUCAUGAGUCCGCAUGUUCACAUGAUUAAAGGUAUUCCGGUAGACGAUGGGGAUGCGUUCCAUUAGAUAGUAGGCGGGGUAACGGCCCACCUAGUCUUCGAUGGAUAGGGGUUCUGAGAGGAAGGUCCCCCACAUUGGAACUGAGACACGGUCCAAACUCCGACGGGAGGCAGCAGUGAGGAAUAUUGGUCAAUGGGCGCAGGCCUGAACCAGCCAAGUAGCGUGAAGGAUGACUGCCCUAUGGGUUGUAAACUUCUUUUAUAAAGGAAUAAAGUCGGGUAUGUAUACCCGUUUGCAUGUACUUUAUGAAUAAGGAUCGGCUAACUCCGUG